rnacentral:lncRNA from 1 species
CGGAAAGCAAGAACAUAUCUCCUUCCACAAAAUAGAGUUCUUCCGGCCAACGCAAGCAAUUCCCUCCAAGGACACCUACCCGUAUCUAGCCCGCACCAUCGAGCUCCAUAAUCCAUUUGGCUGAAUCAAGGAUCUCACUGAAUGCGUAACAAUCAAAGCCUCCUGCCAACCAACAAAGAUUGUAUACCAAGCCCUCUUUCACUGAUAGACCACAUCUCAAGCUAGAAGAUGCACCCCUCCCCCUUUGCGGUGAGAUCGCCACAAAAACUCUCUAAAAAGCUGCUCGAGCUUUAGGAGAAAAGAUCUCAACAAGAUGGUAUGAGAUAAUAUGUAAACAAGGAUAGCAUUGAGAACCGAUCUUACCUAAAUAACCCUAGCCAUCAUCAAUAGUGCUCUAGACUACCAGCCUUCGAGGUGCUCUCUGAUCGAGACCUCCAUCUCUCUACAUUCAGUCCUUCACAAUUUUCACCCAGUAAUAGGCACCUCGAGGUAGCGAAGGGCCCCAACCUACUCAGAAAUACCUAGAAGUCUUCGGGUCACCUACCUAUGUUGAGCCCUGAUCUUCAGAUUGAAUAGACCAUGAACUUGAGGAGAUUCACCUUCCGAUGUGAAGCCACAGUAAUUCUCUAAGAUCCUCCUAAAGACUACUGUAUUUCGGAUAGUAGCCUAGCCCAACAGAAGAUAAUUAUCUGCAAAGAGCAAAUCCGAUGUCGGCUAGGCCCCUAGGGCUGGCACAUGGAGCUCUAAGGCCCACCCAAGGGAUGCCACUUACAAGGUCUGAAAAAAUGCAUCAACACAAAUAAUGAACAAAUAGUA